GUGGCGUCGCGACAGAGACGGCGGCUCUCGCCUCGCUCCUGCUUCUAGCCCCGGCCGGCCACAGGCCCUGACACGUCCGAGUGGAUGGUAUUUUCCGGUUUUUUUUCUUUUUUUUUUUUUUCUUUUCUCUUUUUUUUUUUCUUUUAAUUCAGUAGUAAGUAUAUGGGUGAAGGUCCUGGAGGGAAAGCCAUAAGACGAGCGGCAUAAGUCGCUCAGCCUAGAGGAGACUGAGGUGUGUAUCUUCCAGGAUGUGCUCUGAAGAUUUCAGCAAAAGAGAAAGAGGGAGCUUGGCUCAACCACCAGAGCAGCCCUGCAGCCUACACCUAGGCAAUCCUGAACCCUCCCUUGUCUGCAAGACCCAUGUUGAGUUUCCCAGGCAGGAAAACUAUGCUCAGAAGUGGCACACUGAGAACUCUCCCCAGCCAGCCACAGAAUCAUCCUCGUGCCUGCUCCUGCCUUCUGAUUAAAUUACUCCUUUCA